GGGGGCGCAACGGAUUCGACGGGAUCGAAUCGUGGUGGAAAGGCGUGCCGGGUUCCGAGCUCCCGUAAAACGAUCGGAAAACCAUAACUGCCAAUCAGCAGUUUGCAUACGCUGCCUAAUUAAUUAGGUAGCCGCUCCGGGUGCCGGGCCUCGACGGCAUUCAAGGAGCGUCAUUUUCGAGGAUUGGGCCGCAGGCUUCUGCUCGGAGCCGAGGGCUGACGACAAUCGGGCUAAGCCGCCGUUUUCUUGCCGGCUCUAAUGCGGCGGCCGACAACUACCGAACCGGAAACGCACGUAGUUCUUUUCAUUGCGGGCUUUCUCGGACGCGGGUUCAACUCCCGCCGCCUCCACCA
rnacentral:tmRNA from 1 species